UGAGGAAUAUUGCGCAAUGGAGGCAACUCUGACGCAGCCAUGCCGCGUGCAGGAAGAAGGCGCUACGCGUUGUAAACUGCUUUUAUCCGGGAAGAAACCCCUCCACGCGUGGAGGGUUGACGGUACCGGAGGAAUAAGCACCGGCUAACUUCGUGCCAGCAGCCGCGGUAAUACGAAGGGUGCAAGCGUUAUCCGGAUUCAUUGGGUUUAAAGGGUGCGUAGGCGGGAUAGCAAGUCAGUGGUGAAAUCCCGUGGCUUAACCACGGAGGGGCCAUUGAUACUGCUGUUCUUGAGGACGCUCGACGUGGGCGGAAUGUGCCGUGUAGCGGUGAAGUGCUUAGAUAUGGCACAGAACACCGAGAGUGAAGACAGCUCACGAGGGCGAAACUGACGCUGAGGCACGAAAGCGUG
rnacentral:rRNA from 1 species